UGGCACGUAGCUCAGCUGGUAGAGCAUGCGCGUACAAAGCAUAAGCGGUGUCCAUGCGUGGGUUCGAAUCCCACCUAGGCUA
rnacentral:tRNA from 1 species